rnacentral:rRNA from 1 species
UACGUAGGGGGCUAGCGUUGUCCGGAAUCAUUGGGCGUAAAGCGCGCGUAGGCGGCCCUGUUAGUCCGCUGUAAAAGUCAAAGGCUUAACCUUUGAAUGCCGGUGGAUACUGCAGGGCUAGAGUCCGGAAGAGGCGAGUGGAACUCCUGGUGUAGCGGUGGAAUGCGCAGAUAUCAGGAAGAACACCAACGGCGAAGGCAGCUCGCUGGGACGGAACUGACGCUAAGGCGCGAAAGCGUGGGGAGCGAACAGG